rnacentral:rRNA from 1 species
AGAGUUUGAUCCUGGCUCAGGACGAACGCUGGCGGCGUGCCUAAUACAUGCAAGUAGAACGCUGAAGGAGGAGCUUGCUUCUCUGGAUGAGUUGCGAACGGGUGAGUAACGCGUAGGUAACCUGCCUGGUAGCGGGGGAUAACUAUUGGAAACGAUAGCUAAUACCGCAUAAGAGUAGAUGUUGCAUGACAUUUGCUUAAAAGGUGCACUUGCAUCACUACCAGAUGGACCUGCGUUGUAUUAGCUAGUUGGUGGGGUAACGGCUCACCAAGGCGACGAUACAUAGCCGACCUGAGAGGGUGAUCGGCCACACUGGGACUGAGACACGGCCCAGACUCCUACGGGAGGCAGCAGUAGGGAAUCUUCGGCAAUGGACGGAAGUCUGACCGAGCAACGCCGCGUGAGUGAAGAAGGUUUUCGGAUCGUAAAGCUCUGUUGUAAGAGAAGAACGAGUGUGAGAGUGGAAAGUUCACACCGUGACGGUAUCUUACCAGAAAGGGACGGCUAACUACGUGCCAGCAGCCGCGGUAAUACGUAGGUCCCGAGCGUUGUCCGGAUUUAUUGGGCGUAAAGCGAGCGCAGGCGGUUAGAUAAGACUGAAGUUAAAGGCUGUGGCUUAACCAUAGUAGGCUUUGGAAACUGUUUAACUUGAGUGCAAGAGGGGAGAGUGGAAUUCCAUGUGUAGCGGUGAAAUGCGUAGAUAUAUGGAGGAACACCGGUGGCGAAAGCGGCUCUCUGGCUUGUAACUGACGCUGAGGCUCGAAAGCGUGGGGAGCAAACAGGAUUAGAUACCCUGGUAGUCCACGCUGUAAACGAUGAGUGCUAGGUGUUAGACCCUUUCCGGGGUUUAGUGCCGUAGCUAACGCAUUAAGAACUCCGCCUGGGGAGUACGACCGCAAGGUUGAAACUCAAAGGAAUUGACGGGGGCCCGCACGAGCGGUGGAGCAUGUGGUUUAAUUCGAAGCAACGCGAAGAACCUUACCAGGUCUUGACAUCCCUCUGACCGCUCUAGAGAUAGAGUUUUCCUUCGGGACAGAGGUGACAGGUGGUGCAUGGUUGUCGUCAGCUCGUGUCGUGAGAUGUUGGGGUAAGUCCCGCAACGAGCGCAACCCCUAUUGUUAGUUGCCAUCAUUCAGUUGGGCACUCUAGCGAGACUGCCGGUAAUAAACCGGAGGAAGGUGGGGAUGACGUCAAAUCAUCAUGCCCCUUAUGACCUGGGCUACACACGUGCUACAAUGGCUGGUACAACGAGUCGCAAGCCGGUGACGGCAAGCUAAUCUCUUAAAGCCAGUCUCAGUUCGGAUUGUAGGCUGCAACUCGCCUACAUGAAGUCGGAAUCGCUAGUAAUCGCGGAUCAGCACGCCGCGGUGAAUACGUUCCCGGGCCUUGUACACACCGCCCGUCACACCACGAGAGUUUGUAACACCCGAAGUCGGUGAGGUAACCGUAAGGAGCCAGCCGCCUAAGGUGGGAUAGAUGAUUGGGGUGAAGUCGUAACAAGGUAGCCGUAUCGGAAGGUGCGGCUGGAUCACCU